CGCGUAGGCGGCCGAGCAAGUCUGACGUGAAAUGCACCGGUUCAACCGGGGCGCCGUGUCGGAAACUGCCUGGCUUGAGGUCGAGGGAGGAAGGUGGAAUUCCUGGUGUAGCGGUGAAAUGCGUAGAUAUCAGGAGGAACACCCGUGGCGAAGGCGACCUUCUAUCUCGAUUCUGACGCUGAGGCGCGAAAGCUAGGGGAGCAAACG
rnacentral:rRNA from 1 species